UACGUAGGGGGCCAGCGUUGUCCGGAUUUACUGGGCGUAAAGCGCGCGUAGGCGGAACGUUAAGUCCGGUCUGAAAGCCCCCGGCUCAACCGGGGAGGGUGGCCGGAAACUGGCGUUCUUGAGGGCGAGAGAGGGAGGGUGGAAUUCCUGGUGUAGCGGUGAAAUGCGUAGAGAUCAGGAGGAACACCCGGGGCGAAGGCGGCUUUCUGGCCGUGUAACUGACGCUGAGGCGCGAAGGCUGGGGUAGCGAAGAGG
rnacentral:rRNA from 1 species